AAUCAACGCUGGCGGCGUGCCCCAGACAUGCAAGUCGAACGAUUAAGACUUCCUUCGGGAAGUGUAUAAAGUGGCGCACGGGUGAGUAACACGUAAGUAAUCUACCUUCGAGUGGGGAAUAACGUUCGGAAACGAACGCUAAUACCGCAUAAUGCAGCGGCACCUAAUGGUGACAGUUGUUAAAGGAGCAAUUCGCUUGAAGAGGAGCUUGCGGCAGAUUAGCUAGUUGGUAAGGUAAUGGCUUACCAAGGCUACGAUCUGUAACCGGUCUAAGAGGACGGUCGGUCACACUGACACUGAAGAACGGGUCAGACUCCUACGGGAGGCAGCAGUCGGGAAUUUUGGGCAAUGGGCGAAAGCCUGACCCAGCAACGCCGCGUGAAGGAUGAAGUAUUUCGGUAUGUAAACUUCGAAAGAAUGGGAAGAAUCAAUGACGGUACCAUUUAUAAGGUCCGGCUAACUACGUGCCAGCAGCCGCCGUAAGAC
rnacentral:rRNA from 1 species